CCUACGGGUGGCUGCAGUGGGGAAUAUUGCACAAUGGGCGCAAGCCUGAUGCAGCCAUGCCGCGUGUGUGAAGAAGGCCUUCGGGUUGUAAAGCACUUUCAGCGGGGAGGAAGGCGUUAAGGUUAAUAACCUUGGCGAUUGACGUUACCCGCAGAAGAAGCACCGGCUAACUCCGUGCCAGCAGCCGCGGUAAUACGGAGGGUGCAAGCGUUAAUCGGAAUUACUGGGCGUAAAGCGCACGCAGGCGGCCUGUCAAGUCGGAUGUGAAAUCCCCGGGCUCAACCUGGGAACUGCAUUCGAAACUGGCAGGCUAGAGUCUUGUAGAGGGGGGUAGAAUUCCAGGUGUAGCGGUGAAGUGCGUAGAGAUCUGGAGGAAUACCGGUGGCGAAGGCGGCCCCCUGGACAAAGACUGACGCUCAGGUGCGAAAGCGUGGGGAGCAAACAGGAUUAGAUACCCGAGUAGUC
rnacentral:rRNA from 1 species